rnacentral:rRNA from 1 species
GCGACCCUAGGUCAGGCGGGGCCACCCGCUGAGUUUAA